rnacentral:rRNA from 1 species
CACGUAGUUAGCCGGUGCUUCUUAUCUACCUACCGUCACCACAAGUGGCUUCGUCGAUAGCGAAAGGAGUUUACAACCCGAAGGCCUUCAUCCCCCACGCGGCGUCGCUGCAUCAGGCUUGCGCCCAUUGUGCAAUAUUCCCCACUGCUGCCUCCCGUAGGAGCCUGGGCCGUAUCUCAGUCCCAAUGUGUCCGUACACCCUCUCAGGCCGGAUACCCGUCGCCGCCUUGGUAGGCCAUUACCCCACCAACAAGCUGAUAGGCCGCAGGCUCAUCCCACACCGCAAAAGCUUUCCACCACACCAUCCAAGAUGCGGUCCUAUAUGGUAUUAGACCCAGUUUCCCAGGCUUAUCCCACAGUGCAGGGCAGAUCACCCACGUGUUACUCACCCGUUCGCCACUCGAGUACUUCUAGCAAGCUAGAGGCCUUUCCGUUCGACUUGCAUGUGUUAAGCACGCCGCCAGCGUUCAUCCUGAGCCAGGAUCAAACUCU